UACGAAGGGGGCUAGCGUUGCUCGGAAUCACUGGGCGUAAAGCGCACGUAGGCGGAUUGCUAAGUCAGGGGUGAAAUCCUGGAGCUCAACUCCAGAACUGCCUUUGAUACUGGCGAUCUUGAGUCCGGGAGAGGUGAGUGGAACUGCGAGUGUAGAGGUGAAAUUCGUAGAUAUUCGCAAGAACACCAGUGGCGAAGGCGGCUCACUGGCCCGGUACUGACGCUGUGGUGCGAAAGCGUGGGGAGCAAACAGG
rnacentral:rRNA from 1 species